GGGGCUGUGGCUCAGUGGCAGAGCCUCUGAUUGGUAAGCAGAAGGUCCCGGGUUCAAUCCCCGCCAUCUCCA